AUACGGAGGGUGCAAGCGUUACUCGGAAUCACUGGGCGUAAAGCGCGCGCAGGCGGCUAUUUAAGUUGGAUGUGAAAGCCUACGGCUCAACCGUAGAACUGCAUCCAAAACUAUUUAGCUAGAGUGUGGGAGAGGAAGAUGGAAUUAGUUGUGUAGGGGUAAAAUCCGUAGAGAUAACUAGGAAUACCAAAAGCGAAGGCGAUCUUCUGGAACAGUACUGACGCUGAGGCGCGAAAGCGUGGGGAGCAAACAGGAUUAGAUACCCUAGUAGUCC
rnacentral:rRNA from 1 species